rnacentral:rRNA from 1 species
AACACGUGGGUAACCUGCCCAUCAGAAGGGGAUAACACUUGGAAACAGGUGCUAAUACCGUAUAACAAUCGAAACCGCAUGGUUUUGAUUUGAAAGGCGCUUUCGGGUGUCGCUGAUGGAUGGACCCGCGGUGCAUUAGCUAGUUGGUGAGGUAACGGCUCACCAAGGCCACGAUGCAUAGCCGACCUGAGAGGGUGAUCGGCCACAUUGGGACUGAGACACGGCCCAAACUCCUACGGGAGGCAGCAGUAGGGAAUCUUCGGCAAUGGACGAAAGUCUGACCGAGCAACGCCGCGUGAGUGAAGAAGGUUUUCGGAUCGUAAAACUCUGUUGUUAGAGAAGAACAAGGAUGAGAGUAACUGUUCAUCCCUUGACGGUAUCUAACCAGAAAGCCACGGCUAACUACGUGCCAGCAGCCGCGGUAAUACGUAGGUGGCAAGCGUUGUCCGGAUUUAUUGGGCGUAAAGCGAGCGCAGGCGGUUUCUUAAGUCUGAUGUGAAAGCCCCCGGCUCAACCGGGGAGGGUCAUUGGAAACUGGGAGACUUGAGUGCAGAAGAGGAGAGUGGAAUUCCAUGUGUAGCGGUGAAAUGCGUAGAUAUAUGGAGGAACACCAGUGGCGGAGGCGGCUCUCUGGUCUGUAACUGACGCU